rnacentral:rRNA from 1 species
AUUGAACGCUGGCGGCAGGCCUAACACAUGCAAGUCGAACGGUAACAGGAAGCAGCUUGCUGCUUUGCUGACGAGUGGCGGACGGGUGAGUAAUGUCUGGGAAACUGCCUGAUGGAGGGGGAUAACUACUGGAAACGGUAGCUAAUACCGCAUAACGUCGCAAGACCAAAGAGGGGGACCUUCGGGCCUCUUGCCAUCGGAUGUGCCCAGAUGGGAUUAGCUAGUAGGUGGGGUAACGGCUCACCUAGGCGACGAUCCCUAGCUGGUCUGAGAGGAUGACCGGCCACCCUGGAACUGAGACACGGUCCAGACUCCUACGGGAGGCAGCAGUGGGGAAUAUUGCACAAUGGGCGCAAGCCUGAUGCAGCCAUGCCGCGUGUAUGAAGAAGGCCUUCGGGUUGUAAAGUACUUUCAGCGGGGAGGAAGGGAGUAAAGUUAAUACCUUUGCUCAUUGACGUUACCCGCAGAAGAAGCACCGGCUAACUCCGUG